UACGGAGGGUGCGAGCGUUGUCCGGAAUCACUGGGCGUAAAGGGCGCGUAGGCGGCGCGGGCAGUCAACGGUGAAAGCUUGGGGCUCAACCCCGAGUCGGCCGUCGAUACUCCCGGGCUGGAGCACUGUAGAGGCAGGUGGAAUUCCCGGUGUAGCGGUGAAAUGCGCAGAUAUCGGGAGGAACACCAAUGGCGAAGGCAGCUCGCUGGGACGGUACUGACGCUGAGACGCGAAAGCGUGGGGAGCAAACAGG
rnacentral:rRNA from 1 species